CCUACGGGAGGCUGCAGUGGGGAAUAUUGGACAAUGGGCGAAAGCCUGAUCCAGCCAUGCCGCGUGUGUGAAGAAGGCCUUCGGGUUGUAAAGCACUUUCAGUGGGGAAGAAAGCCUUGGGGCUAAUACCCUCGAGGAAGGACAUCACCCACAGAAGAAGCACCGGCUAACUCCGUGCCAGCAGCCGCGGUAAUACGGAGGGUGCGAGCGUUAAUCGGAAUUACUGGGCGUAGGCGCGCGUAGGCGGUCUGAUAAGCCGGUUGUGAAAGCCCCGGGCUCAACCUGGGAACGGCAUCCGGAACUGUCAGGCUAGAGUGCAGGAGAGGAAGGUAGAAUUCCCGGUGUAGCGGUGAAAUGCGUAGAGAUCGGGAGGAAUACCAGUGGCGAAGGCGGCCUUCUGGACUGACACUGACGCUGAGGUGCGAAAGCGUGGGUAGCAAACAGGAUUAGAUACCCUUGUAGUC
rnacentral:rRNA from 1 species